AACGCACGAGACCUGCGGACCUGCGGAAGGAUCAUUACCGAGUUUACAACUCCCAAACCCAAUGUGAACGUUACCAAACUGUUGCCUCGGCGGGAUCUCUGCCCCGGGUGCGUCGCAGCCCCGGACCAAGGCGCCCGCCGGAGGACCAGCCAAAACUCUUAUUGUAUACCCCCUCGCGGGUUUUUUUUAUAAUCUGAGCCUUCUCGGCGCCUCUCGUAGGCGUUUCGAAAAUGAAUCAAA
rnacentral:misc_RNA from 1 species